CAAGCAGAGCGGGCAGACGCCCCGAUAUCUAUCGGGGAGGAAAGUCCGAGCUCCGCCGGACAGGGUGCCGGGUAACACCCGGGAGGGGCGACCCUACGGAAAGUGCCACAGAAACAUACCGCCAGCGGUCUCGAUAAUAUCGGGAUGCGGGCAAGGGUGAAAUGGCGAGUUAAGAGCUCACCGGCAGGCGGGAGACCGUUUGGCCGUGAAAACCCCACCCGGAGCAAGGCCAAAUAGGGGGACAUAAAGGCGAGUCCGCGCUGUCCCCGGGUUGGCCGCAUGAGCCUGCCGGUAACGGCAGGACUAGAUAGAUGGCUGCCGUCCCGAUUACGUCGGGAUACAGAACUCGGCUUAUAGCUCUGCUUGGCUC
rnacentral:RNase_P_RNA from 1 species